GCAAAUGGAUUCAUGACAAAAUUGUGUUUUGGUGAUGGUGAUGUGUUUGUACAUCUUACUUUACUGAACAUUCUUGCUGCUUACAAUUAUUUCUAUCUAUAAUGAACUUGGCCCAGUAGUUUCAGUGGAAAAUGUAAGUUAAAAUUUACAAAUUUUAUGAAAAUUGUUAAAAAUUGACUAUAAAGGACAAUAACUCCUUAGGGGUCAAUUGACCGUUUCCGUCAUGUUGACUUAUUUGUAAAUCUUACUUUGCUUUACAUUAUUGAUGUUUAUUACAUUGGUUGCAAUGAAUUACAUUGAUUUCCCAGUCAAAUAAAAACCGAUAAUUUUACACGUGAAAUAAACGUGGUUAUUUCACUCUCUGACGUCAUACAACAAUAGGCGUUGUCAAGACGUCGAUAACGUCGGAUCAAAACAUGCGUAGGAAAAACAUAUAGUUCCUUACAUUUUCUACAUUAAUUUCAUAAAAAAAGAGCCAUUUGCCAAUGUAAUAAAAAGAAUAACUAAUCAAAGAAUUCAAAUAUCGAAAAAUAUUCAACUCGUGACCGAACAACACUGAUAAUUAACUCAUGCGCUACGCGCAUUCGUGAAUUAAUGUGUUGUUCGGUCACUCGUUGAAUAUUUUUCUCUAUUUGAAUUCUUCGAUUAGUUAUUCUAUAAUUACAGUUUAUCUCUAUCUAUAAUAAUAUUCAAGAUAAUAACCAAAAACAGCAAAAUUUCCUUAAAAUUACCAAUUCAGGGAGAGCAACCCAACAACGGGUUGUCAGAUUCAUCUGAAAAUUUCAGGGCAGAUAGAUCUUGACCUGAUAAACAAUUUUACCCCAUGUCAGAUUUGCUCUAAAGGCUGCGGUUUCAGAGUUAUAAGCCAAAAUCUACAUGUCACCCCUAUGUUCUAUUUUUAGCCAUGGCGGCCAUCUUGGUUGGUUGGCCGGGUCACCGGACACAAUUUUUAAACAAGAUACCCCAAUGAUGAUUGUGGCCAAGUUUGGUUUAAUUUGGCCCAGUAGUUUCAGAGGAGAAAAUUUUGUAAAAGAUAACUAAGAUUUACGAAAAAUGGUUAAAAAUUGACUAUAAAGGGCAAUAACUCCUAAAGGGAUCAACAGACCAUUUUGGUCUUGUUGACUACUUAUUUGUAGAUCUUACUUUGCUGAACAUUAUUGCUGUUUACAGUUUAUCUCUAUCUAUAAUAAUAUUCAAGAUAAUAACCAAAAACAGCAAAAUUUCCUUAAAAUUACCAAUUCAGG
rnacentral:lncRNA from 1 species